rnacentral:lncRNA from 1 species
CAGGGGCGAAGUCAUGGGAGGCUGAGGGGCCCCGGGGGAAGUUCACGGGGCAGCUCCGCAGCAAAGGGAGGGAGACAGGCAGGGUCCUCUCCGGCCUCACCAUCCAGCUGCUGGUUUCUUAUAUUUGUUUUGUUCUUUUUGCACUACUAGGAUUGAACCCAGGCCCUUCGCACUGAGCUAUACCCCCAGCCCAUUUAUUUUUUUUGGAAACAAGGUCUCUAAAUUGCUAAACUGCCCAGGACGGGCUGGAACUUGCAACCCUCCUGCCUCAGCCUCCCAGAGUGCUGGGGUUUCAGGUGUGCGCCACCACGGCCCACCCAUGGUGGGGUUUUUAACAAAGGUCCACACAUCCUGCUCCUCCUCCCCCACAAGUAGGCGCCCGACUGUCCCCAGGCCAGGCUGGACUCUGGGACUCGCUUCCAAAAAUCACACCACCCAGGGAAAUGGCAACAAUACAGGGGUGGGGGCUUCUGGCCACCUGGUGACUGCCCAGCCCCGAGGUGCUGCUCCCAUGUGAGGGCUUCUCCUCCCCUGAGGUCUCUGCCCCUAACUCGCCAUCCGGUCUGGGUUCCAUCUCAGGGAGACACCCACCAACCUGCACGGGGGACGUGGGACAAAGUCACCCGCCGUCCUCUCCAGGAGCAGCAGGGCCACAAGGCUGAGGGACAGAGACAGGGAGUCAGGGCCACACGGGAAGCCGGGUCAGAUCUUAGACCCAAAGGAGACACUGGGUGGGAACCCGGUGCCACCCCGGACACCCAAGCUGAGCACCAUGUGGGCUCCUCUCUCCCUCUGGAGAGCGCCCGGCGGCCUGAGGUUUCUCUGUAACACACGUGCACUUUUCCUGCAAAUCCAAGCAACUCCUCAGGCCAUCAAUCAGCUCCCUGAGAAGCAGUCUUAGCGGGGUGUGUGUGUGUGUGUGUGUGUGUGUGUGGACCACUUGAGGGCACAGUAGUGUGACCACCCCGGGUCCCCAGGCGGAAACAGGGAUGGACUGCAGGCCAGGAGGCGACAGCAGGGCCAGGCCCUGGUGACAGCUUCCCGCCUACACCCCUCGCAGGCACAGGAUGGGGGCAUCCAGCUGUGAGAAGGAAAACGGGGACAGGACGGGGCCAGCGGGCCGAGGGGACCGGAGGACUGCAGUGCCUACGGCGAGGAGUCAGGAGCCCACUGGAGAGAGAAGCCGACCCCCCGGAGACAGUGCAGGUGGCAAGGGAGCACAGGUGACCGAGGCACGUCCACCCCUGACUGCCGGGGCGGCAGGGAAGCUGAGCAUGGAAUUAGCCGCACCUCGGCGGCCUGGCACGCGAUGCGAGACAUGACAGUGGCGGGCUGGGUUCCAGGGGCUACCUCCCACCUCGGCCACUCCACUCUCCUCGGCAUGCUGGCUUCACACGCCGUGCUGGCAUCGGUCUCCCUUUGCAAUGUCAGGCCACGGUCAUGGCCGUUCCCCGAGGCCCAGGCCAGC